rnacentral:rRNA from 1 species
CGGACGGGUGAGUAACGCGUGGGUAACCUGCCUUGUACAGGGGGAUAACAGUCAGAAAUGACUGCUAAUACCGCAUAAGACCACGGUACCGCAUGGUACAGUGGUAAAAACUCCGGUGGUAUGAGAUGGACCCGCGUUGGAUUAGCUAGUUGGUGAGGUAACGGCCCACCAAGGCGACGAUCCAUAGCCGGCCUGAGAGGGUGAACGGCCACAUUGGGACUGAGACACGGCCCAGACUCC